CUUAMCAUGCAAGUCGAGCGGUAAGGCCUUUCGGGGUACACGAGCGGCGAACGGGUGAGUAACACGUGGGUGAUCUGCCCUGCACUCUGGGAUAAGCUUGGGAAACUGGGUCUAAUACCGGAUAUGACCGCAUGCUGCAUGGGGUGUGGUGGAAAGAUUUAUCGGUGCAGGAUGGGCCCGCGGCCUAUCAGCUUGUUGGUGGGGUAAUGGCCUACCAAGGCGACGACGGGUAGCCGACCUGAGAGGGUGACCGGCCACACUGGGACUGAGACACGGCCCAGACUCCUACGGGAGGCAGCAGUGGGGAAUAUUGCACAAUGGGCGGAAGCCUGAUGCAGCGACGCCGCGUGAGGGAUGAAGGCCUUCGGGUUGUAAACCUCUUUCAGCAGGGACGAAGCGUGAGUGACGGUACCUGCAGAAGAAGCACCGGCUAACUACGUGCCAGCCGCCGCGGGUAAUAC
rnacentral:rRNA from 1 species